rnacentral:rRNA from 1 species
AGUGAACGCUGGCGGUAGGCCUAACACAUGCAAGUCGAACGGCAGCACAGUAAGAGCUUGCUCUUACGGGUGGCGAGUGGCGGACGGGUGAGGAAUACAUCGGAAUCUACUUUUUCGUGGGGGAUAACGUAGGGAAACUUACGCUAAUACCGCAUACGACCUACGGGUGAAAGCAGGGGAUCUUCGGACCUUGCGCGAUUGAAUGAGCCGAUGUCGGAUUAGCUAGCUGGCGGGGUAAAGGCCCACCAAGGCGACGAUCCGUAGCUGGUCUGAGAGGAUGAUCAGCCACACUGGAACUGAGACACGGUCCAGACUCCUACGGGAGGCAGCAGUGGGGAAUAUUGGACAAUGGGCGCAAGCCUGAUCCAGCCAUACCGCGUGGGUGAAGAAGGCCUUCGGGUUGUAAAGCCCUUUUGUUGGGAAAGAAAAGCAGCAGGUUAAUACCCCGCCGUUCUGACGGUACCCAAAGAAUAAGCACCGGCUAACUUCGUG